rnacentral:rRNA from 1 species
AUACGUAGGGAGCGAGCGUUGUCCGGAUUUACUGGGUGUAAAGGGUGCGUAGGCGGCUCGGCAAGUCAGGGGUGAAAACCAUCGGCUUAACUGAUGGACUGCAUUUGAAAAUGUGGGGCUUGAGGGGAGUAGAGGCAGACGGAAUUCCCGGUGUAGCGGUGAAAUGCGUAGAGAUCGGGAAGAACACCAGUGGCGAAGGCGGUCUGCUGGGCUCUAACUGACGCUGAGGCACGAAAGCAUGGGUAGCAAACAUGAUUAGAUACCCUGGUAGUCCAUGCCGUAAACGAUGAUUACUAGGUGUGGGGAGUCUGACCCUCUCCGUGCCGGAGUUAACACAAUAAGUAAUCCACCUGGGAAGUACGACCGCAAGGUUGAA